CAAGUCGAGCGAGAAAGUUCCUUCGGGGAGCGAGUACAGCGGCGGACGGGUGAGUAACGCGUGGACGAUCUACCCAAGGAUUCGGGAUAACCUUGCGAAAGCGGGGCUAAUACCGAAUGGUCUGGGCAUUUUGAAAUAUGCCUGGUAAAGGUGGCCUCUGAUUCAAGCUAUCGUCUUUGGAUGGGUCCGCGUCCCAUUAGCUUGUUGGUAGGGUCAUGGCCUACCAAGGCGACGAUGGGUAGCUGGUCUGAGAGGAUGAUCAGCCACACUGGGACUGGAACACGGCCCAGACUCCUACGGGAGGCAGCAGUGGGGAAUAUUGGGCAAUGGGCGCAAGCCUGACCCAGCAACGCCGCGUGAGGGAAGAAGGUCUUCGGAUCGUAAACCUCAGUCAGGAGGGAAGAAAUGGGUUGUCCUGAACAGGGAUGGCCUUUGACGGUACCUCCAGAGGAAGCACCGGCCAACUCCGUGCCAGCAGCCGCGGUAAUACGGAGGGUGCAAGCGUUAUUCGGAAUCACUGGGCGUAAAGCGCACGUAGGCGGCUUUGCAAGUCAGGUGUGAAAGCCCUCGGUUCAACCGAGGAAUUGCCCUUGAAACUGUAGAGCUCGAGUUCGGGAGAGGGUGGCGGAAUUCCAGGUGUAGGAGUGAAAUCCGUAGAUAUCUGGAGGAACACCAGAGGCGAAGGCGGCCACCUGGGACCGGAACGGACGCUGAAGGUGCGAAAGCGUGGGGAACAAACAGGAUUAGAUACCCUGGUAGCACACCCGGUAAACGAUGGAUGCUAAGAUCCUGGGUGUGUAAAACAUUCGGUGUCGGAGUUAACGCGUUAAGCAUCCCGCCUGGGGAGUACGGUCGCAAGGCUGAUACUCAAAGAUAUUGACGGGGGCCCGCACAAGCGGUGGAGUAUGUGGUUUAAUUCGAUGCAACGCGAAGAACCUUACCUGGGCUGACAUCCCGGGAACCUCCUGGAAACAGGGGCGUGCCCUUCGGGGAACCCGGUGACAGGUGCUGCAUGGCUGU
rnacentral:rRNA from 1 species